UACGGAGGGGGCUAGCGUUGUUCGGAAUUACUGGGCGUAAAGCGCGCGUAGGCGGAUCUGCAAGUCGGGGGUGAAAUCCCGAGGCUCAACCUCGGAACUGCCUUCGAUACUGCGGGUCUCGAGUCCGGGAGAGGUGAGUGGAAUUCCUAGUGUAGAGGUGAAAUUCGUAGAUAUCGAGAGGAACACCGGUGGCGAAGGCGGCCUUCUGGACCAGC
rnacentral:rRNA from 1 species